rnacentral:rRNA from 1 species
UACGUAGGGUGCAAGCGUUGUCCGGAAUUAUUGGGCGUAAAGAGCUCGUAGGCGGUUUGUCGCGUCGCAUGUGAAAACCCGGGGCUCAACCCCGGGCCUGCAUUCGAUACGGGCAGGCUAGAGUUCGGUAGGGGAGUCUGGAAUUCCUGGUGUAGCGGUGAAAUGCGCAGAUAUCAGGAGGAACACCGGUGGCGAAGGCGGGACGCUGGGCCGAUACUGACGCUGAGGAGCGAAAGCGUGGGGAGCGAGCAGG